GUCAAUGGAUUCUUGACGUGAACUAGUACAUGCACAUGCACGUACGAAACAAUCACGCCGGCUCCUUGAUCGCUGAAGCAACUCGCCGGGAACUCACGCACACACGCGAAACAAUACGAGGCGCCGAUGGAUAGCAAUAGGUGCGUGUCGCACCUAAUACUUUAUUUCUUUAAUCUGAGUUAAUCUUACAAGGGUAUACCUCCGUAUAUAUAGUAUCUAGGACCAACUCAAUCUAACCUAGCCGGUUACCAAGUCCUAGUCCUAGUAGUACUAUUAGGUGAUUGUACCAUGUCCGAGCCGGACAAGGCCACACAUCAUGGUUAUUUCCAACAAUCACCCUCUAAACACGAUGUCCUCACUUCACAGCUUGGACGCCGAUCCUUCGCCGCAUCUUCACGAACUUCUGUCGUCCCAAAAAUCUGGUUAGGAUAUCUGCAAGCUGGUCAUCGGUGCAAACAUAGUUGACGUCAAUCUUACUUUCUUCCACGCACUCCCGUAGGUAUCGAUACCUCGUAUCGAUGUGUUUCCAUCUACCAUGAUGACACACUAGAUUCUUCCACAGAGAGAUUGUAGACUUGUCGUCAACGUUGAGCACCACUCGUUCUGGUUCCUUAUCUGUGAGGUCACCGAGUAGUCUUUCUAGGCACAUGUCUUGACACACCGCGGUUGCAGCUGCAAUAUACUCUGCUUCACGAGAUGAUAAUGCGACCACCUUCUGCUUUUGUGAUAGCCAACUCACUAUGCUUCCUCUCAAGAAAUAUGCCACGCCCGAGGUACUUUUACGGUCGUCCACAUCUCCUGCCAUGUCGCUAUCACUAUAGCCAAGUAGCUCCAUCAUCUCCUUCUUCUUCUCUCUCAAAUAGACACAACCAAAGUUUGUUGUCCCUUUGAUGUACCUGAUUAUAUUUUCCACAGCUGCCCAAUACUCCAUCAUGAAACGGCUCACUAUGUCAACGGAAUAGGCCAAGUACGGUCUUGUAUUCGUGAGAUACCUCAGCUUUCGGACCACACUUCUAUACUCUGUUGCAUCAACCGCGGGUUCUUUACUCUUCUUGCUUAGUAUGAGACGAGGCUUCAUUGGAACAUGACUUGGAUUGCAAUCUUUCAUGCCACAACUUUCAAGUACUUUCUUUGCAUAUGCCUCCUGGCAUAUUAUGAUCCCCUCCGGCUUUUGCUGUACCUCGAUCCCAAGAUAGUAAUUCAAGAGCCCUAGAUCAGUCAUCUUGAAUAGCUCCUUCAUUAGUAGCUUGAAGUUUGCAAUCACCUCUUCGUCUGCUCCAGUUAUCAACAGAUCAUCCACAUAUAUGCCCACUAAUAGACGAUGCCUUCCUUCACCUCGCUUAUACAUUGUAUGCUCCAGUGGGGCUUUCUCAAAUCCAAGAGAAAUCAAUGUACUGUCAAGCUUCAUGCUCCAUGCCCAAGGAGCUUGGUGUAGCCCGUACAACGCCUUGUGUAGCUUCAAUACCUUGUGCUCUUCUCCUUCUUCGAUGAACCCUGGUGGUUGCUUCACAUACAACUCUUCUUCUAACUCCCCAGUCAAAAACGCAGAGUCCACAUCCAUAUGAUGUAUCCUCCAGGAUUCUUGAGCCGUGAGAGUUAUAAGUAGCCUCACCGUGUCCAUCUUUGUAACUGGGCCGAACACUUCUUCGAAGUCCACACCUUGCUCUUGCACGUAUCCUUUAGCCACGAGCAUUGCCUUAUGCUUCACCAAGUUCCUUUCGGCAUCCUUCUUGACUUUGUAUACCCACUUGAACUCUAUGGCAUUAUGUCCGUUGGGAAGAUCCGCGAGCUCCCAUACUUUGUUGUCUCAGAUCGACCUCAACUCCUCAUCCAUAGCACGACGCCAACACUCUUUCAUAACUGCGUCUUCAAAAAAUUUUGGUUCCUCGAUGUGCAAACAUCGUUGCCCUUUACUCUUCAUCUUCACCGAAUUUAUUCGAAGCGCUUCCUCUGAUUCAUGUGGCUGUUCUUCUGUCUCCAAUGCUGUCGAAGACGUCACGUCUUUUGAAGUUGCCAAACCUCCCUUUACUGGCAUUCUAGCCACAUCCAAACUGCUCUCUAGAGAAUUUGCAACAGUAGAUGGGCUGAUCUUUUGAGGCACGUCUAUUUUUCUUAGACGUUGCCCACCUUGUAGUCCAUCCACUAGGUCAUCACGUGGAUUCCUUAAUGUGGUUGUUGUAUGCAGCUUGUAGUCGCCCGCUCCUUCUGGCACAUGCGGAGCUGCACAAGGCCAUGCAUCGCCUCCGUCGCUGCUGCUACAUACGGUUGCUGCUGGGCCGCUCAGUGCAGCACCCUUUCCAGCCGGCGUAGCGUUUGCUGUGCUAUCAAGCAGACCUGACACGACUGAUUCGAGCCCUCCUGGUCGAGCGGCGCUUCCUUUUGGAUACUGGUUUGUCUGCACCAUGUUCCUAUACGAGUUUGACAUGUCCCAGCUCGUCGCGCCGUCCUCAGGCGAGACGCCCGCGCUCCUUGCCGCUCCCGCAUAUGAUUUUCCUGGUGGGUCCAUACCGAUCUGCUUUGUGUUGUGAACUUCUGACAUCACAACUUCGCCUUUUUCUAGCGCGACCACACCAUCACGCAUUGUGUCGUGGACUUCUGGCACCACGUCUACGCCUGAACUUACUGGCGUGACCACAUCAUCACGCCUUGUGUCAUGGUCUUCUGACGCCACAACAUCGCCUGCUUCUAGCGUAACCAUAUCGUCACACCUUGUGUCAUGGUCUUCUGGCACCACAACUUUGCCUGGGGUUACUGGCGCAGAUGCACUCACCGGACCCGUGUCCAGUUGAUCAUGAUCAUUUGAAUCCUCUUCGUCCACUAGCUCGCACAUCAGCAUAAUAUCCCCAUCGUCUCCUUCCUCGGCCAUGAGAGCCCGUUGCUUCGGUGCUUCCUCGCAGUAAGCCUUGAAGUGACCGAGGAGGCCACACUUAUGACACCUCACUUUUCUGAUGUCAAACUUCCUCCUCGGUGGUGCAGGCGCAUCCUCGUCAUCCGAGUCGGCGAAGUUCUUUCUCGCCGAGCACUGCUUCCCCUUCCCCUUCUUCUUGCUGCUGCUCGUGGAUCCGCCUUGUGGUUCUUUCGACAGGGCGAUCCAUUGCGCCUUUGUCAGCAUCAGGUGCUCACUCGCUUUCGCGUCGCCAAAACUGAGACGAAUUCUCUCGUCAUGGGCCUUGAACCUUCCGACGAGAUCCUCAACUGUGAGAGUCUUUAGGUCGAGACAUUGUUCGAUCGACGUGACAAUCUGGAUGUAGCGUGCCGGUGCGGCCCGAAAAAAUCGUCGGACGAUCGCAACUUCUUCUAGGGUUGAACCAUAGCUGCGUAUGCCGUUGACGAGGGUCUUGAGACGGGAGGCAAACUGAUCAACCGUCUCACUUUCAUCCAUCUUCAGGCACUCGUAGCUUCUCAUCAGAGACUGAAGGUGUGCUUCCUUGACACGGUCAUGACCCUGGUGCAGGAUCUUAAUGGUCUCCCAUGCAUCCUUCGCCGUUUUCUUUCCGACGAGGUGUUGCAGCACAUCCUUCGGCAUUGCGGAGUAGAUCGCCGUUAACGCCUGACGAUCAAUCCGGUACUUCGCCGCGCCCUUCGCGUACUCGGCGCCGUCGGGUCCACGGCUUCCCAGAACUCAGCCCCUUCCAUUGCGACCUCCAUGUUCAUCGCCCAUAGUGCGUACUUCUCUCGAUCCAGACGGGGGAAUUGCGACACCCCCACCAUCGGCAUCGGUGCUCCUGCUGCCGCCGUCACGAUCUCCUUGCCUGUGUUCGACAUGAUCCUUCGAGUGCUUUCCGAAGAUCACGACCGACCAAACCAAGCUCUGAUACCAAUUGUUGGUCCAGACCCGUACGCCGAGUACUUUCCGACGUACUUUGUAUGACGCAAUUCUGAUGACCUGUGCUUUCAGCCGUUGAGAUACACGCGUACGUAUACAAGGAGCAAGCAGGCAGACAAGCUGGUCAAUGGAUUCUUGACGUGAACUAGUACAUACACAUGCACGUACGAAACAAUCACGCCGGCUCCUUGAUCGCUGAAGCAACUCGCCGGGAACUCACGCACACACGCGAAACAAUACGAGGCGCCGAUGGAUAGCAAUAGGUGCGUGUCGCACCUAAUACUUUAUUUCUUUAAUCUGAGUUAAUCUUACAAGGGUAUACCUCCGUAUGUAUAGUAUCUAGGACCAACUCAAUCUAACCUACUCCCUCCGUUUGGAAUUACUCGUCUCGGAAAUGGAUGUAUGUACAACUAAAAUAUGUCUAAAUACAUCCACUUCUGCGACAAGUAAUUACGAACGGAGGGAGUAGCCGGUUACCAAGUCCUAGUCCCAGUAGUACUAUUAGGUGAUUGUACCAUGUCCGAGCCGGACAAGGCCACACAUCGUGGUUAUUUCCAACAGCAUACGGAGGAUGCCGCCGGAGACGGGGGUGGAGGCACGCGUGCUCGACGGUAAGCUCGUGCCGGAGCCGCGG
rnacentral:lncRNA from 1 species